rnacentral:rRNA from 1 species
AUAAAAUCAUAAACCCAUGACAUGUCUAAGUAUAAGCAUUAUACACUAGUAGAAUGUGAAUGGGUCAUUAUAUCACCCUUUUAGAAUUUGAGAUUACAUUUCUACUUGGAUAAUCGUGGUGAUUCUUGAGCUGAUACAUGAUGAUACGGCCGGGUUCCCGGCUGAUGUAUGUUAUAUAAAAAAACAAUGUCCUCGGUCUCUAUGGUUAAUCAUAAUAACUUGACGAAUCUCCUGGUCUUGUGCCGGUGAGGUUUCAAUCGAAUUUCUGCCCUAUCGACUUUUCAUGGUACGAUAGAGGGAUACCGUGCUUUUAAGGGUUAACGGGGAAUCAGGGAACAAUGCCGGAAAGCGAGACAGAGAAACUGAUACCACAUUCCACGAUGGCAGGAAGGGCGCAAGUUACCCAAUCCUGACACACGGAGGCAGAGACGUAAAGAACUAUACAAGGACUAUUGGGCCUCGCAAUUGUAAUGAGAACAAUGUAGUACACCGUAACUAGCAACACUUAGGAGCGCAUGUCUGGUGCCACCGGCCGCGGCAAUUCCAGGCUCUUAUAGUAUAUAUUAACGUUGUUGCCGUUGAUAAGCUCAAAAAGCUCACC